GACGGUGUAAUUCCCUAUAUAUAAAGGGCUUCUUAUGUUUAUGUACAUACAGAUUCUAUUCUCUUAUUACAACAAAAUUUAGAUUUGACUUGGUUUAUUCUUAUUAUAAGGUAAUACCAAGAUUUCAUUAAUUAUAACUAUAUACCAUAAUUGUAGGAUAAUUAACAAAUGAACUACAAAUACAUGAAAACCAAAUAUUCACCAAUUUAUAUGUAAGUGAAUAUUCAAUCCGAACACAAAUAACAACAUCUCAAGUUUUACGCUUAGAAAUUAUAUGUUUAAUAGAUGGUUCUUGAACCUCUACAUCGAUCUUUAGUGGAUGUAGAUGGAUGUGGAAAUAUAACAAUGGAAGGGCAUAGCUUAUGGGUAUAAGAAAUUAAAGAUUCAGAGAAUCCAUAUUGCAUAAAAAGUUGGAAGCAUGCAAUAGGAAACAUGUUGCAUCAUUCGACAUAUCAGCACUUUGGGAGAGACAACAAAGACUUGAUAGCGAUAUUAGGGGAACCUCAGGAUGGGCAAAUUUCUCGACGGAGUUGAAGGAAAUACAAGAACUGAAUAGAAGAUUUCUAGAUUUCAUGUAUUCUAUACUCAUAGGGGAUAAAAUGGAACUGAAGAUCACUUAACUAGAACCACUCAAUCUUUUUAUAGGAUUCUUUGUUUUGUUGGUUGUUCUAUUUCGGUGUAAUUAUCCAGACCACUUUAAUCUUGAGUAAUAAAAUGGAUAUUUUAUCGUCAAAAAAUAUAUAUGUACGAGGAUAAAUCGCUGAAAUUUCCUAUGAUAUAUUAUACACAAAAUAAAUAAUAUAUAAACAACUUUGCAACGUUCCCACAGAAAAUAUGCAUUUAAAAAUCGCUAAUCAUAUGCUACAUAAUGGGUUUAUGCUUUCUUUUUAUAAAAGAAAUAUGUGAAACAAAUCGUGACAAAAAAAAUAUGUGAAACAAAAUAUACAAAGUUAUAGUUAUUAUAAAGUUAAAAAAUAUUUUGAUAAAUCAUAAUAACGAGAUAAUAAACUUAAGAAUGAAUCUAUUUUGAGACCUAUUUUGAAAUAUUGUCAGAAAGAGAUAUACCCAUUAUAACAAAUCCCCUUCCUAUUAUUAGGAGAUUUUCACCCAAAAAAAUAUGAGAACAAUUUUUUUUCAUAGAAAUAAAAUAUACAAUAUUCAGUUUUAAUAUAAUAAAUUGAAUAGUAACUAGAUUAUGUAGAGAUUUUAACUAUUGAAAUGAUAACACAAUUAAUAAUCCGUUUUCAUAAUUAUAUUUACGAUAUGAAUUUAUUUAAGGAUAAUAAUAUCCUUAAUUUUCAAUUUACUCAAUGAUUUUCACAUCUUUCAAACAAUAAUAAUUAAACACGAAUUAAAUCUUCAAAAAUGGGGGAUAUUCUUCUAACAUAUAUUUUUCUAUUCAACAUAUAAAGAAAAAAAUAAUGUAUGUUGAAAAUCAAUGUACAUCCAACUAUUUUUACUCAAUUUUCUUAUGAAGGUGGUUUUUUGUUGUUUGUUUAGUGUUUAAACUUAAUGUGUACUAGAGAUUGACCCGCUAUUGAUUCUUCCGUUUUUAUAAAUUUAUAUAUAUUUUGCAUGAUUAGUGCUAUAUGUUUUAGAUGUGUCGCCAACUCGCCAUAUAAUUAAUUGUAUUCGGAUCUGAAUCGGGUAAUAUAGUUAUUUUUGGUACAAAUAUUCCAAACCCAUUUCAGAUACAUUUGUUAUUUAGAUAUUUUUAGGUUCAUAUAUAUCAGAACCGAACCACCUAAAACCCUAGAGGGCCCAAAUCGAAAUCCACAUAUAAUUUUAUAAUAUCCAAGUGAUGCCUAAUUUCAAAACCCCAAAAAAAUCCGAUAUCCAAAAGAAAUAACCGGUACCUAAAUGGGUAGCCGAAUGUCCAUGCCUACUGAUUUUGUUUAAAAAAAAAUUUCUUUCCAUGUGUUUAGCUAAAUUAAGUGAAAUAGAGAGAGUGUUUUAUUUAGUAAAAUAGUUAUAUGGUGUGGAAAAUAAAGUGGCAAUAUAUGUAAUACAUUUUUAUUAUUUUGAUUUAAGUUAUUAAUUUGUUCAUAUAAACUACAUCUUUGAAUUAUGUGUUUGGCUAUGUAGCUUUUCACCUAUUGAAAGUAAGAUAAACAAUAGUAAAACAGAAUAAACCGAACUUUUAACUAUAUGCAAAAUCUGGUUAUUUUACAUUUUGAUUUUUAUAAUUAGUAUAAAUUUAAUGUUGAUUAUCAAAUAAAUAACAAUCUGCAAUAUUAUUAUUAUUGUAAUAUAAUUAAUGAUGUUAUGUAUCAUUAAGAUAAUAUUAUUAAUGAAGUUGUUAAAUCAAUACAAUACUAAAAGCAGAAUAAGGGCUCCUCUCAUGCUGUCCACGUCAUCAAUUAUAAUCAACCAAUAGGAAAUCACCGUUGAGCCACGUCAGACGCAGCAGCAUUGCAUUUGGGCCUCGCAUCAUAUCGGCCCGAUAAAGUCCGGAGAGUCCAUGUCUCGGUGAAGCCUCCUGAUCGAUUUUCAAUCCUCUUUCUCUUUUUCUUCUUCGUUCCGUCAAUCCCCUUUCUCUUCCUCUUCUCCGGUUACUACGUUUCACAAAUCUUUCUCUUACCUUUCGACUUCCAUUACUCUUCUCUCCAAUUCCGUUUCAAUGCAUAUUUCACCAGGCAUAUUCUAAUUCUUCUACUCACCUCUUUCUGAGAAACUGAAUCGUAAAGCGUUUUCUGAAACACUCGAUCUCCUUCCCUCAUAAAGCCAAAUCCGAUCACAUAUCUAUAUAAAUAGAGAUAGAUACAUGUUCAGAUUCCUUAAAAAGCUAGGGUUUUAUUCGAGAUUUGGUAGAUUGUAUAAUCGCGAGAUGUCUUCUUCCGAGAUUAGGGCACAGAAGAACCAACUGCCAUCUCUGAUCUCAUCUCUCCCCGAAGAAAUCUUCGUCGACAUCAUAGCGCCGUGCCUCUCGAUCCUAUUACCCGAAUCUCUCCCAAGCCUCCAUGUGUUUCCGAUCACUCAUGGAGAAGAAAGGGAGAAGACACUCUCUGACAUCGCCAAAGCAUGUGAAGAAUGGGGUUUCUUUCAGCUGGUGAGCCAUGGGACUCCACUGGAGCUUCUGAACAAAGUUAAGGACCUGAGCUCAGACUGCUACAAAUACAGAGAGAGAAGAAGCGUCCAAGACUUCAACACCCGUGAAGCUGCUCAACGAACUGCUUGAGAAAAACUCUAGAGAGAAGCUCGAAAGCGUUGACUGGGAAGAUGUUUUCACUCUCCUAGACCAUAACCAAAACGAGUGGCCAUCCAACACUUCUGGCCUCAAAGAGACAAUGUUGGAAUACAUAGGAGAAGUGAUGAAGCUAGCGAGCAAGAUAAUGGAAGUGAUGGAUUAGAAUCUGGGUUUGCCUAAAGGUUACAUAAAGAAAGCUUUAAACGAAGGGAUGGAAGAUGGUGAAGAGAAGGCUUUCUUUGGAAAAGUUAAAUGUGACAAUACAUUAACUAUGGAAGGCAUUUCCAGUGGGGUCUUUGGUUGUCCUUUUGUACCUCAUACUACUUCUGGUUUCAAAUUUUAACUCUGCAGGCAUCAAAUUUGACAUCUGAAGAUCUGUCUUUAACGGUUCUUGCUCCAACAUCCUUCACAUCACCUAUAAGCCCAUUCCUAAGAUUCUUUGAGUUCACAGAGAGGGUACAAACCGAAAACGCAAUACAACAACGUAUAAGUUCCAGUCGUUGCCCUCAAUUCCACUAGAGCUUUUGUUUAAAGCAUCGAACUUGAAGGUUGGAUUUUGUGGUUACUAUUCUUAGAGGUUCACACAGUAGUCUAGAGGAGAUUCAGUGCCGUAAGAACUGCUAGACAGACUGUGGAGCUGUUCUUGCUGUUGGCGCAGCUUUAAGAUCUGAAGCAUUGAAGGAAGAAGUAUUAGCAACGAGUCUUCUAGAAGACAAUCCCUUGGCGGAGCUGAUAUUAUACUCAAAUUGAAUGGCUUCUUCACCACUUACUAUCCUUCGGAGGCCACUAGAGCUACUUUUUAGUAGCGACAAGAAUCUAUAUCCUACAAAUAAAGAUGACGAACUCCCCAAUCUCUCCGCUUCAUCCAAGUCAUUAUAAUAUAUUCCUUACAAACCUUAGAACUUUGAAGACAUGUGGAGAUUCCCUCUUUCAUGGAGGAUGCAACCAAAUUGCAGUUACAUUACAUACUCAUCUUAACUGCAUAAGAUUCGACCGAACCAUCUUCAACUUCCCUCACGCCGGCUUCCUAGGCAAAGAGACUGAUUCAGGUCUUACAGACUAAGAAACGCUCCAGCGUCGUUUGUUUUUCAAAUAAACCACGACUGGUAUCAAGACAACUUAAGACAUCUGGAUACGCUUAGAUAUACUGAAAGAAGCAGCAUCCGGUUUCAUGACAUGUCAUCAUCGUGAGGAAGAGCGGUUCCUUGAAUGCUCCGUUUCAGUGGAGUUCUGCUUGAUAUUUAUAACUGGAAUACACAUAGUAUGCUAACCCAGACGAGCUAUCCUCAUCAGUACACUGGAGAAUCACAAGAAAGACGCCAUGUCGCCAUCUGCUUCGUCAAGACUUUCCGGUUCAAGAUAGUCAAGAACCUUACUCGGAACGCUCUAAACGUUUAAGUACUAUAUAUUUUUUUUAAUGUUUUCGUUGUUACUAUGUGGAAACUGAAAAUGAGAUGUUAGAUUAGAUAGGAAAAUAUGUACUUUCGUUCAAUACAGUCAACACUAAAAAGAUUAAAAAGUUUAGUUA